rnacentral:rRNA from 1 species
GUCCACGCUGUAAACGAUGACGACUAGGUGUGGGGGGUUCGAGUCCCUUCCGUGCCGCAGCUAACGCAUUAAGUCGUCCGCCUGGGGAGUACGGCCGCAAGGUUGAACUCAAAGGAAUUGACGGGGGCCCGCACAAGCGGUGGAGCAUGUGGUUCAAUUCGAUGCAGAGCGAAGAACCUUACCUGGGCUUGACAUGCAGGAAGUAGAACCCUGAAAGGGGAACGACCCGUUAAGUCGGGAGCCUGCACAGGUGGUGCAUGGCUGUCGU